AAGGCCCAAUACCCAGGCUAUGAGUGCAAUCUAGGAAACUUAGGAAUAGAGUGAUUCAUGGGAAGCGGGUGGUAUGGCGCCACUUAGCGGAACAUUGAUAUCACGAGCAGUUCAGACCCUGGUGGGAUAUUAUCGGUGCAUACAUCGGGUGUGCACAGGAUGAUAUUCUGCGAAAGGUUAUUUAUGCUGCGUUUCUCUUGACCUUACCCUG
rnacentral:lncRNA from 1 species